rnacentral:rRNA from 1 species
UACGUAGGGUGCAAGCGUUGUCCGGAAUUAUUGGGCGUAAAGAGCUCGUAGGCGGUUUGUCGCGUCUGCUGUGAAAACCCGAGGCUCAACCUCGGGCCUGCAGUGGGUACGGGCAGACUAGAGUGCGGUAGGGGAGACUGGAAUUCCUGGUGUAGCGGUGAAAUGCGCAGAUAUCAGGAGGAACACCUGCGGCGAAGGCGGGUUGCUGGGCCGACACUGACGCUGAUGCGCGAAAGCCAGGGGAGCGAACGGG